rnacentral:rRNA from 1 species
GACGAACGCUGGCGGCGCGCUUAACACAUGCAAGUCGAGCGAGAACCAGACCUUCGGGUCUGGGGACAGCGGCGAACGGGUGAGUAACACGUGGGUAAUCAACCCUCAGUACUGGGAUAGCCCGGGGAAACCCGGAUUAAUACCGGACGGCCCUUCGGAUCUUCGGUUCUGAAGGAAAAGGUAGCUUCGGCCUCCGACCGAGGACGAGCCCGCGGCGGAUUAGCUGUGUGGUGGGGUAACGGCCUACCAAGGCGGCGAUCCGGAGCUGGUCUGAGAGGACGAUCAGCCACACUGGGACUGAGACACGGCCCAGACUUCUACGGAAGGAAGCAGUGGGGAAUCUUGCGCUAAUGCGGGAAACCGUGACGCAGCGACGCCGCGUGAGGGAAGAAGGCCUUCGGGUUGUAAACCUCUUUCAGGAGGGACGAAGCUACUCGGGUUAAUAGCCCAGAGGGUGACGGUACCUUCAGAAGAAGCCCCGGCUAACUACGUGCCAGCAGCCGCCGUAA